GACAGAGGGUGCGAACGUUGUUCGGAUUUACUGGGCGUAAAGCGCGUGUAGGCGGCUUUGCAAGUCGGAUGUGAAAUCCCACGGCUCAACCGUGGAAGUGCAUCCGAAACUGCAUCGCUCGAGUCUCGGAGAGGAAGGUGGAAUGCUUGGUGUAGAGGUGAAAUUCGUAGAUAUCAAGCAGAACACCUGCGGCGAAGGCGGCCUCCUGGACGAUGACUGACGCUGAGACGCGAAAGCGUGGGGAGCAAACAGG
rnacentral:rRNA from 1 species